rnacentral:rRNA from 1 species
UACGAAGGGGCUAGCGUUGUUCGGAAUUACUGGGCGUAAAGCGUGCGCAGGCGGUUUGCUAAGACGGGUGUGAAAUCCCCGGGCUUAACCUGGGAACUGCGCUUGUAACUGGCAAGCUAGAGUGUGGCAGAGGGGGUGGAAUUCCACGUGUAGCAGUGAAAUGCGUAGAGAUGUGGAGGAACACCGAUGGCGAAGGCAGCCCCUGGGCUAACACUGACGCUCAUGCACGAAAGCGUG